GAUGAACGCUGGCGGCGUGCCUAACACAUGCAAGUCGAACGAAGCGAUUUCUAGGAAGUUUUCGGAUGGAAUAGAGAUUGACUGAGUGGCGGACGGGUGAGUAACGCGUGGGUAACCUGCCUCACACUGGGGGACAACAGUUAGAAAUGACUGCUAAUACCGCAUAAGCGCACGGUACCGCAUGGUACAGUGUGAAAAACUCCGGUGGUGUGAGAUGGACCCGCGUCUGAUUAGAUAGUGUGGGUAACGCCUACCAAGUCAACGAUCAGUAGCCGACCUGAGAGGGUGACCGGCACAUUGGGACUGAGACACGGCCCAAACUCCUACGGGAGCAGCAGUGGGGAAUAUUGCACAAUGGGGGAAACCCUGAUGCAGCGACGCCGCGUGAGUGAAGAAGUA
rnacentral:rRNA from 1 species